rnacentral:lncRNA from 1 species
GUAAUCGCCCUGCCCCAGGUCAGCACCUCGUGUAUGCUGGCAACUGUGAUGCACCAAGGAAACCCUGGACAGCCGUCACCCUGUGCUCUGUGCCUGUUCGGCAACUGACACCUAAUGAGGUGGAAGCAGAGACAAGUCUGCGGUAUGGGAAAUCUGACUGCCAGCUGCAGGCAUGAGGUGGGCAGCGAAAAGACUGGAAAGGGGAGAAGUAUCAUCUGCUGAUGCUCAGAGGGUGGAAAACACUGAACGACAUCAGCCUGCUUCCUACCCAUCUUUACCAUCUUUGGACAAUGACUGGAGGACGGAACAACACUCAUUAUUGGAGAUGGGCAUAUAGCACGCUUCCCAGCAUUGUGCCCCCAUUGGCGGAGCGCCUCCCCUGGGGUGGGGGCUGUUUAUUAACAAAGACUUGUGAAAAUGUCCUCAGCCUACUUCUUUAACCCUAAACCAGAUGUAGGUCUGCUAUCUGCUGGGUCAAACAACACGCAAUGAAAGCAGCACACGGCUGAAUUACAGAUGGAAUAAUACUUUGUCCUGAGGUGGGUUUGGCUCCAACAGCAGGUGGACAAAGACAAGCCCCCUCCAGCCUCGUUGGGCUGUUAGAAUCAGCCCAGCCUGACUGUGCCUACUUGAAACCACAUUGCCAUGGAGCCCGACUUUGCUAUAAAACAAAUGAGCUCUUCACAGUCAGCUAACUGGAAUUUAG